rfam:Musca domestica strain aabys unplaced genomic scaffold Scaffold1312, whole genome shotgun sequence.
UCAUUGGCCUUUUUUAAGGCCAUAAUUCGUACCAAAGAUGACAAAU